UUUCUGUGAUGAUUUUAUAUAAAUUAUUUGACAAGCAUAUGUCUGAUAAAAAUUUAUUUGAUGAAAAUUUUGAAAACUGAGAAAA
rnacentral:snoRNA from 1 species